rnacentral:rRNA from 1 species
GAUGAACGCUGGCGGCGUGCCUAAUACAUGCAAGUCGAGCGAACAGACGAGGAUCUUGCUCCACUGACGUUAGCGGCGGACGGGUGAGUAACACGUGGAUAACCUACCUAUAAGACUUGGAUACCUUCGGGAAACGGGAAUACCUACCAGGUACUAUUUUUAACCGCAUGGUGCAAUAGUGAAUGAGGGUUUUGCUGUCACUUAUAGACGUAUCAGCGCCGCAUUAGCGAGUUGGUAAGGUAACGGCUUACCAAGGCAACGAUGGGUGACCGACCUGAGAGGGUGAUCGGCCACACUGGAACUGAGACGCGGUCCAGACUCCUACGGGAGGCAGCAGUAGGGAAUCUUCCGCGAUGGGCGAAAGCCUGACGGAGCAGCGCCGCGUGAGUGAUGAAGGUCUUCGGAUCGUAAAACGCUGUUAUUAGGGAAGAACAAAUGUGUAAGUAACUAUGCACGUCUUGACGGUACCUAAUCAGAAAGCCACGGCUAACUACGUG